UGCAAGUCGAACGCACUCUCGUUAGAUUGAAGAAGCUUGCUUCUGAUUGAUAACAUUUGAGUGAGUGGCGGACGGGUGAGUAACACGUGGGUAACCUGCCCUAAAGUGGGGGAUAACAUUUGGAAACAGAUGCUAAUACCGCAUAAAACCUAGCACCGCAUGGUGCAAGGUUGAAAGAUGGUUUCGGCUAUCACUUUAGGAUGGACCCGCGGUGCAUUAGUUAGUUGGUGAGGUAAAGGCUCACCAAGACCGUGAUGCAUAGCCGACCUGAGAGGGUAAUCGGCCACACUGGGACUGAGACACGGCCCAGACUCCUACGGGAGGCAGCAGUAGGGAAUCUUCCACAAUGGACGAAAGUCUGAUGGAGCAACGCCGCGUGAGUGAAGAAGGUUUUCGGAUCGUAAAACUCUGUUGUUGGAGAAGAACGUAUUUGAUAGUAACUGAUCAGGUAGUGACGGUAUCCAACCAGAAAGCCACGGCUAACUACGUGCCAGCAGCCGCGGUAAUACGUAGGUGGCAAGCGUUGUCCGGAUUUAUUGGGCGUAAAGCGAGCGCAGGCGGUUUCUUAAGUCUGAUGUGAAAGCCUUCGGCUCAACCGAAGAAGUGCAUCGGAAACUGGGAAACUUGAGUGCAGAAGAGGACAGUGGAACUCCAUGUGUAGCGGUGAAAUGCGUAGAUAUAUGGAAGAACACCAGUGGCGAAGGCGGCUGUCUGGUCUGUAACUGACGCUGAGGCUCGAAAGCAUGGG
rnacentral:rRNA from 1 species